UACGAGGGGGGCAAGCGUUGUUCGGAAUUAUUGGGCGUAAAGGGCGCGUAGGCGGUGCGGUAAGUCACCUGUGAAAACUCUGGGCUCAACUCAGAGCCUGCAGGCGAAACUGCCGUGCUUGAGUGUGGGAGAGGUGCGUGGAAUUCCUGGUGUAGCGGUGAAAUGCGUAGAUAUCAGGAGGAACACCUGCGGUGUAGACGGCUUUCUGGACCAUUGUUGACGCUGAGACACGAAAGCGUGGGUAGCAAACAGG
rnacentral:rRNA from 1 species